ensembl:lncRNA
GGGAAAGAGGGGAGCGAUACGACAGGACUGCUGAGCCAGGCGGGCAGUUUUACUUUCGAUUCCACGCCCCAGAGCUGUCAGAGCUGCAGGAACACCCCUUCCUCUGAGGACCAGAGGCCUGAAGGACAGCCUGUCAGCCUCUGCUGGAAGAGUCGGGCCAGGAGAGUUCCCCUGAGGAGCCAGAGCAUGUGAACUUAGCAGCGGUGUUUCUGUUGGUAAGGGUAACACUUUCUCACAGUCAAGACAUGAUCCAAAGUCAAUAAAGUCUCUCUUUAAUUGACAUAGAUAUAGUUACAGCAAGAGUUUUGCCACAUGUAAUCACAUCCUAGACAAGACUGUUACGCUGGCAAACUCUGCAAAAGAUGUUACAUCUUUAGGAAUUGAAUUUUCAAUCACAUAAAAAAGAAGUAAUUGAGGAGAGCUUAUAACCAGGAGGGAGAGCAACUUUUUACAUGGGCAGAUAGUGAUAGGACAAAGGGGAAUGGCUUUAAACUAAAAGUGGGGAGAUUUAGGUUAGAUGUUAGGAAUAAAUUCUUUAUUCAGAGGGUGGUGAGGCACUGGUACUGCUACCCAGAGAAGCUGUGGGUGCCCCAUCCCUGGAGUGCUCCAGGCCAGGUGGGAUGAGGCCCUGGGCAGCCUGAGCUGGUGGGGGGCAACCAACCCACGGCUUUGAGGUCCCUUCCAAUCUAAGGCAUUCUAUGAUUCUGUGAUUCUAAGAACACCACACAAUUCAACAUCUUCACUUGACAUGUAUUCCAUAAACCCACACUUAGACUUCAUUAAGGUAGAAAGGGAAUUCUUAUAUACAAAUAUUUUCUUACUCUUUUGGGAUCCACAUUGUAUGGCUGAACCACCUCAUUUUAGUCCUCUAUAACUUUGGAAGAUUUUAAUGUUCAGACCUAUUCAUAUCAGUGUUAACUGAGAAAUAUUCAACUAGCUCUCUAUCUGCUUUAAAGCAAAACCACAUUGAUACCUGCUAUUUGGCUGAUAUUUGCCUAAGAACUGUGGAAAAGUAUUUCAUCAUCUUUCUGCAACAUCUGUGCUUUUCCCUCUGCGUGGAAUAGAAAUAUUUAACCAUGUCGACCUUUUCUGCCUCUACAAAAUCAUGUAACGUAACAACAUUAUUUUGAAAUUUCCUUUAGCAUACAUUAAAAAUCAAUACUCAAAGCCAAAUUCCUACUAUGCCUUACUCUGUUGGUCACCUG